rnacentral:rRNA from 1 species
GACGAACCCUAGCGGGCGAGGCUUAACACAUGCAAGUCGGGGGGCAGCGUAAUGGAAGUAGCAAUACGGAUUUGACGGCGACCGGCGCACGGGUGCGUAACGCGUAUGUAACCUACCUUUAACAGGGGGAUAACACUGAGAAAUUGGUACUAAUACCCCAUAACACUCUGAGAGGCAUCUUUUGGAGUUGAAAGUUCCGGCGGUUAAAGAUGGACAUGCGUUGUAUUAGCUAGAUGGUGAGGUAACGGCUCACCAUGGCGACGAUACACAGGGGGACUGAGAGGUUAACCCCCCACACUGGUACUGAGACACGGACCAG